GACGGAGGGGGCUAGCGUUGAUCGGAAUUACUGGGCGUAAAGGGCGCGUAGGCGGCUCUGUAAGUCGGGUGUGAAAGCCCGGGGCUCAACCCCGGAACGGCACCCGAGACUGCGGAGCUCGAGACCGGAGGAGGUGAGUGGAAUACCCAGUGUAGAGGUGAAAUUCGUAGAGAUUGGGUGGAACACCGGUGGCGAAAGCGGCUCACUGGUCCGGUUCUGACGCUGAGGCGCGAAAGAGUGGGGAGCAAACAGG
rnacentral:rRNA from 1 species